GGGGGGGCGGGGGGGGGGGGGCGAUUUGGCGGCGGUUGCUGGCGAACGGUUGUCGGUGGCACCGGUGUCUGUCCCGCCUCUGCGGGCUCGGCUCCCCGCCCCGCCGCGUCCUCAUCGUCUCCUUCGGCGCUUCAGCGGCGGGGCCGAACCGCUGCCGGCCUCAGUGAGAAGAAAAAUGACCUAAGCACCAUCCAGCCUUUGUGGCCAAGGGCAGGAGCAGGGGUGGGGCUGCUGGGAGGAUGGCUUUGCCUGGAAGCUUGUGGAGGCAGCCUGCAAACAGAGGCCUUGUGUCCCAUUGCACCCACCAUCACAUUGUUGUGUUCCUGCUGACCUUCUUCAGUUAUUCCCUGCUCCAUGCUUCCAGAAAGACAUUCAGUAAUGUCAAAGUCAGCAUUUCCAGCCAAUGGACUCCCUCCUGCCUGAACAGCACGGCCCCCGAGCUCCGGCCAUAUGAGCUCUGGAACAGCAGUCAUUUAUUUCCAAAUGCAGAAGAAGCCACGCUCUUCUUGGGGACACUGGACACUAUCUUUUUGUUUUCUUAUGCUGUGGGUCUCUUUGUCAGUGGCAUAGUUGGGGAUCGCCUGAAUUUACGCUGGGUUUUGUCUUUUGGCAUGUGUUCCUCUGCUCUGGUGGUAUUCUUCUUCGGCACACUCACAGAAUGGUUGCAUUUCUACAACAAGUGGUUCUACUGCUGUCUCUGGGUUGUGAAUGGCUUGCUGCAGUCCACUGGUUGGCCCUGUGUGGUUGCUGUUAUGGGCAAUUGGUUUGGAAAAGCUGGGAGAGGUUUUGUGUUUGGACUCUGGAGUGCCUGUGCAUCUGUGGGAAAUAUCCUUGGGGCGUUCCUUGCCUCCUGUGUUCUCAAAUACGGCUAUGAGUAUGCUUUCUUGGUGACUGCCUCAGUACAGUUUGCUGGAGGCGUCAUUGUCUUCUUUGGGCUCCUGACGUCACCGAAGGAAGUGGGCCUCCCUGAGCUUGGAGCAGAUGAAGACAGCAGUGGGGAGGAAGAUGCCAACAGACCUUUAAUGGGCAACGAUGAUGCAGAUGAUGAUGACCGGAAUUACUCUAUUCAAGCAACUGACACUGACAACCAGCCAAAGGCCAUUGGCUUUUUCCAAGCUUGUUGCCUUCCGGGUGUGGUACUGUACUCUUUGGCCUAUGCCUGCUUGAAACUGGUGAAUUACUCAUUCUUCUUCUGGCUGCCCUUCUACCUCAGCAACAACUUUGGAUGGAAAGAAGCAGAAGCUGACCAGCUCUCGAUCUGGUAUGAUGUGGGAGGAAUCAUAGGUGGGACUAUCCAGGGCUUGAUUUCUGAUGUGCUACAGAAGAGAGCCCCAGUGCUAGCAGUUAGCCUGCUCUGUGCUGUAGGCUCUCUUUUUGGAUACAGCCGUUCUCCAAACAGCAAACCUAUCAAUGCUGUGAUCAUGGCAAUUACAGGAUUUUUCAUCGGAGGCCCUUCUAACAUGAUCAGUUCUGCAAUUUCUGCUGACCUGGGGCGCCAGGAUCUGGUGAGAGGCAGCAGUGAGGCUCUGGCAACAGUCACGGGAAUUGUGGACGGGACUGGCAGUAUUGGUGCUGCAGUGGGCCAGUAUCUAGUGUCUUUGAUCCAGGAGAACCUGGGAUGGAUGUGGGUUUUCUAUUUCUUUAUUCUAAUGACGAGCUCAACGAUCCUGUUCAUUUCGCCACUGAUAGUGAGGGAGAUCAGAUUGCUUCUGCACGAGCGGCGCCCGCGAACGCUGGCUGAGUGACUUCUGCUGGCCUCCGGAAGGACUGCUGUGCCGACCUGGCGGCUUGGGACACUGAUCACGACUCUGGGAGGCUCGUUUUGUCCAUCCUCCAGGUUUGGACUAAAUCAACGUGGCUCUGCGAGGCGACUGGCCUGCCUUUGCGAGCUCAGUAGGGAAGUACCAGAUGAGACCGCCCGCGUCACGGAGCUGCUGCCCUAAGCUGGACAAUCCCCGGGGCUGGCGGACGGUCCCGGCCGACCGGACUCUUCCGUGCCAGCCGUCACACUGGGCUCUUCUGCCGGGUGGUCUCACCGCCGUCCCCUUUCUUAUUUAUUUCUGGGCACCCUGACCAAAGGCCAGCCGUUUAAAACUGACGGUGGAGAGGCUGUCUUGCAAUCAGUUUUGAUGCUCUGCUGUGCCGGCGAAAUCACACAGCGCGUUUCGCGGGCAGUCUGAAUUUACGAUCGCUCGAGCUUUGACAAAGGGCGUAAAUAAUGAUUUGGAAUUUGCGCUGUCCAGUUGUUUAAAAAAAUGCUGUUGCUAAAUCCCUGCACAGACAGACCUCUGCUGUCCCUAGCUCUUAACUGUCACAUAUUCCAGUAGAUUCACAUGGAGAAGUUACCUCCAUAUUUGGUUUUAGUAUUUUUAAAUAAUAACAAUAUUGCUAAUCUCUGGGAGACGAGAUUUCAGUUUUUAACUACUUAAGCAGACAAAUGGCGUGCAAUACUUUACUGUGAUCUCUGAGAAUAAGCCUUAAUAGAUCCUUUGUGUCUAAAGGAUCCUUGAAUGGCUUUGGGGGAUCAGUAAUGGGACACAAAUACUUUUCACUACUGCUUUGUUAUCUGAACUCUGAUCAAUCCUGACCAAAAUGGGACCGUCAGGUGACCCUCUGAGGGAAGCUGGUGUCACUGAUUCCGUACCUGUUGGGCAAUUGUUCAUCUCCAGCAAAGGAGAACCAGAAUGGAAUUAAAGGAAUUGAAGGGACCUGGCCGCUCUCAGACACGGGCUUCCGGACGGGGACUGAAGCGUAUUCGUAGAAUUGCAGCAGUGAGCAAGGGCUGCUGCCUUCCCCCCGUGCUCCCCGGGCUCUGUAGGGGACCUCAAGCUCCAGGGUUUUAAAGCUGGAGUUGGAUCUUGAAGGGAAAGGUAGAUGCAAGUCAGCACUAAAAGCGUGUGAGUGCACUUAGCCUGGCGGUGUUUGGGUAGUUUGCGGUACCGCGGUAAGCAGGGUGACCCACUGCCACUACUCACGUUUGUUGGUGAUGCUCAUGGGGUCGUCGAGUAACUUCCCAACAAAUUGUUUUCUGCGUAUGCCUCGGAACGUUUCCUCGUACCAGUUCUGUCCCCUCCGGAGAAGCGUCAGGCGCGUUGGAGCAGCGGCUCACGUGGAAGUGCGCGGCGGUGCUUUGAGGCCACCCUCGGUCAGCGAGGCGUGCCUAGGACUUUUCUUUUGGUGGUGGUGGUCCGGGAUUUUUGGUUCUGUGUGUUUCCUCCAGGUGCUCAGGUGGAGAAAGGUUUUUUUUUUUUUCAGUCUGGUUGUGUCCAAGCUGAUCUCACACGAAUAAACGUUCUUCGACUUGAUCCGGGCUGAUUCUGCCGUGUGCUUUAUUCCGCUCUCCUCAGUGCGGUUCUGCUGAGGGUGCUUCUCUUCCUCCUCGUUACCAGCCCAGCUCUAACAGCUGCUUUUCAUGCAACUGCUGUGAAGAGUUAAGCCCUGACUAAGGCUGAAACCCAACCCUCACCCCGACCUAAACGGGGGCCGUGUUCCCGCGUGCUGUGGUUUGGUGCUUCUCCUGAUCAGUCUCAUGAGAAACUUUGCGAGAGUCCCCUAACAGAGAUGCCCCUAACGGAGUAAUUAAUGGCCUUCGAUAAAGAAGCCAGAAGGCAGACUUGCUUUUAUUUAUUCAUUUGUCGAUUUGCGUGUGUAAGUCAGGUGUUCUUCCCUGGAAAUUAAACCUGCCAUGUGGCUGCUGGCCCUGCUGUGCCGUCUCUCCCGUGGCUUGUUUCUUUAAACACCAAUCCACACCCACGCUCGGCCGUGUUGAAACGGACACAGUGGGGAACUCUGUAAUUGUGUUUGUGUUUUAUAGUUGACUGUAAAUUCGGAGUUGAGCACGAUACUGGAUUGCUGGAGAAACCCCCCUGCCUGCAUGUGCAGGUCCCUCUCUUCCAAGUAGUUUGGUGGUGCUAUGGUGCUAUUCCUCAAGAAAAGUAACAAUUCAUAUUUUUGCCGCUUUUCUGUCGCUUUUUUUUUUUUUUUUUUUUUCCCCCCCCACUCACGAGGAGCUUUGCAGCCUGCUAUGGAAGUACUUUAAGCAGUAGAGCUUUGAGUGUUUAUUUGAAAAUGCUAAUAGCAGUCUCCCCCUCCCCGAGAUCUGUGAUCUCCAGAGCCCAGUGCCUGGGCAAGCACAAGCAUCAGAAUGUCUGAACUUCGGAGCGCGGAGGACGCGCGUCAGGGCCUGAUCUGGGGGUGCUGGGUUGGAGCCUGGGCUGAGACGGGCUGACUGACCGAAUCAGCUACAAAAGAAAAGGUGCGCUUCAGCCUCCUAAUGCUCUUCCCUAUCGAGGAAGGUUGGUGCAGCAAAGCUCCCGCGCCCCGGGGUUCUCGGCGGUCUGGGACCCAAGGGCACGCGGCCGGCCUGGUGCCCGUGUCACGCUGCUCUCCAAAGGGGCAAGGAUUGGGCUUCUGCUCCACGUGCUGGGCAGCCUGAGAGAGCUCGUGAGCUUCUUGUCCUCGCCCGACCCAGGGAAGCAGGUCUCCCUUCCGCAGGAAAGCAGGAGGAAAAAGCAGCAGCGUGUUUUAAGGGUUAUCCUUUGCUCCCCGUGGUAAAAGGAGAAGGUAUCUUCUUCGAGACAGUCCCGCAGAUCUCACUGGUGGAAGCACUGGCUGUUCAGGGAUGUGUCAGACACGCUGCUGUCUGGUUAUUCCCGUGUAAUUUUGCCCUCUACCCAGUGGUGGCCGAAGUGCCCUGCCAAACCUAUUUGCAAUUUCUGCCCCCUCCUUUUCUAGGUUCCCUUCUAACCGAAAGCGCCUACAGCGAUGUUUAGGGUUCUGUAUUGCGAAAGUUUUCUAAGGCACAGCUUGCCCACCUUCCUACAUCUUUGUCAGGCCUUAUCUAAUCCUUUCAGUAAACAGCCAUUUGCCAGUAAAUGCGAGCUCUGAGUCCAGUUUGUGGGCUUGGACUGGGGGGGGGGGGGGUGUUUUAUGUACAGGCCCAUGAAAGCAUCUCGGUUCUAUUAAAGCGUUUCCUAAAUUAGAGUUGAUUUGAUGAAUAUUGACAGCGAGGCAAAGAAGGAGGACUGGGGCAGUUGCUGUGAAUGUUCUCUUCGGUUCUCCUGCGCUGGUGAUUGUGUCUGUACAACUGGAUCCCAGGAGCUCCUCCUGGGAUGUCUCCUUUGACCGAGCAGGUAGCGAGCCGUGUGGCUCUCCUGUGAGGUUUAAAAUUGCCGUCAGGAGAAGAAAGACUUCUCCUAAGAUUACAGAAGUUCAAGUAAACUAUCUGGGGACAACCGAUCUUCCUGUGAAUAGUUUUUAAAGCAGCAGGUGGUAGUUGAUGGACCUCUGGGUGAAUUGGUGGAGUCUGUGUCCGUUGGUGUUCUUGCUCGGGUGCGAGGGGUAGGAAAUCCACACAGCACCACCUCUUGUCCUUGUGAGCCCCGUCGGUAACGCUGUAAUCCAGAGUGUGCCGGUGGCAUGAGAGCAGAUAAGGAUGAGAUUACUUAGACGUGCUAUUUCAACCUUCUUUCCUUACGAUGUGGUGCGUGAAGCACCGGGGAUUUGGGGUGGGUUGAUUUCCCCGGGCUCCUGGAUUCCAGCCCUAGUUCAGCGAACUCCUACGCCCGGAGAUCUCCAUCCUCGGGUCUUUUUCCUGUUUGUCAGGUGGGGCCAGUUUGUGGGAACUGGCUCAUCUGCUCUGGGGUGCGGGGCGGCAGAGAAAAAGCGACAGCGGGGCCGACAAAAGCCAAAGACGACAAAGCAAUUGGGUGGCAGCUGACUGGGCUGUUCAGCCGGAAGGAUGGGAGUUAUCCGGGAGGCAGUUUCAUCCGGACUGGCUCAACUUCACCUCUCCCUCCGCCUCCUUGCCCUCUGCUGCAACUCUUACGCCCUUCUGGGAAGAUGAAGGUUUCAUUCCUUCCAGUCAGGAGCAGGUUCAUCCCAGGGCUGCUUCUCAAGGCACGGCACCAAGUAGGACAGACCGCAACAGGCAGCUGCGGUUGCUGCUGCUGAAUGCCAGGGAGCUGUUAGGCGAGGAGAGAGGCGGAGGUGGGAGCCGGGCGUGCAUCAGCCCUGCGCCAGCACCCGUGGUUUCUGAACCAGUGCCCACCCCCGAAGCAGGUGAGCCCCUCCGCAGGGCUGUCUCUGCUGGAGGUGGCUUUUCGCUGCCCAGCUUUGCUCCCCGGGCACAUCCGCGACGCUGCUGGGGGGCUCCGGGAGCUCCCAGACCCGUUUUGAAACGCCUGCCCUGGGGCCCGUGUGCCCGGCAGCGCCAGGGCUGCUUUCCCUGAGGGAAGGGGGAAGGUGGUGGGGGAACGUGGAGCCGUGGUCGCAGCAGCUGGGUGCCAGCCGCCCCGGUUCUGAGGGAAUCCUGGCCUUUGCUCCAAGAUGGCAAAAUCCAGAUUGUUUUGCACGGCUGGUUCUGCUGUGCUUGGCCGCUCUCCUCGGCCGCUGUUUCACUGUCAGCUGGGCAGGGAUCUCUAAAUGUCUUCUCUGGCUGUUGACUGCAGUUUUCUCACCUGCCCUCACUUUUUGUACAGGAAGGCAGCAGGGACUCGUUUUGGCGGGGUUAUAUCAUCAGACGAGGACUCGGUUUGCCUGAUUUGCUCUUUUCUUCCGACUUCCGCUGUUUCACCUCAGUUUACCUGUUCGGCCUCAAACGUGCAGGGACGGAUCCCUCCCUCUUCCGUCCCCAGUCCAUUUUCUUUGCUCCGGCCUUUGUGGUAGCUUGUCUCCAGGACUGGAAAGGGAGCCAGUGUUUUCCGUGCUAACAAAGUGAGCAUUGUAAUGCGGUCGCAGAGUGGGUGGAUGUGAUUGCCGACAGACGUAUUCCUUCUGCUAGGGUGUGGAUUAAAGCUCAAGGUGACUUUGUUCCCGCAUAAAUUCACUAACUUUCCCCGGGGAACCGCAGGGGCAGGGUUGGGAGGGGAGAGCUAUGAUAAAUUAAAGUGUCGGAAGGAAAUACACUUAUAUAGCACACACUACCGAAGCAUAACUGUGUUGCGCUGUGAGGAGCUUUCAACAUAGUUUAAGGUAGCACUCCAUGGAUUAAAAAAAAAAAAAAAAAAAAAAACAAAAAAAAACAAAACCAAACCAAACCAGGAUGGUGUUUAGCUGAGAAGUUGAGCGUAAUUGCCUGGCUCCUACGACAUGAAGAAGCGGUGUUAUUUCCACAGGACGAAUGAGGAACUGAGUCAGCAGGAGGCUGAAUGACACAGCCGAGGUUACCCGAGAGUGCCGAGCGCUGCUGGGAACCGAAUCUGGCGGUUCCUCUCCCCGCCGCCCGAUGUGGGGCAUCGCCCCGCUCUGCCCCCGGCUUUUCACCCCCGCCCGGGCCCUUGGACUCUGAAACAAGCCAUAAAUGCAACCAGCCUCUUUGAAGGGGAAGGUGUGAUUUAUCUGGAGCCCGAAACUUUUGGCACUGGAAUUAAAAGUGGAAUUUGAACUGCUCUGUGUAAAUAACCCCACAAUUACAGUGCAGCACUUUUGCCUAGGCUUUGGUGUUUGUGGUGCCACCUUCUCCUGGGGAAGUGGCUUUUGUGCCUCCAGUUGACAAAAGUUUCAUAUUUGUGCUGAAGGCGACGUGGGUUUUGCAGCUUUCAAGCUGUGCUGCUCCAUGCUACGCAAAGAGUCUUCCUGAUGAUCAGUUGUUCAAGUUAGAAGUGGUUAAAUGUAGCAACAGAGAUGAGAAAUGUGGAAUUCUGGAGCAGCAGGAGAAAAAAAGGCCAUAGAAGUUUAACCUGGGAUGGAAAUAAAACAUACGAUUCUAUCUCAAAAAA